CAUUCUGGACCCCUCGGCCGCGCGUUCGCGGCGGUUGGUGUUAGCGGGCUGGGCAUCUGGUGAAGUGCCCAGACUGGGCGCUUCCAGAGCUUUCUGUGGCCGGGCAAUGAGGCCCUAGGGCAAGGAAUGGGAGGUUGUAUCGCUGUCGAUGUGCGGAACUCCCCUCUUGAGGGUUCCCACAGUGACUUGCAAAAGUCCAGUGAGACCCUAGAGAGCUAAGGCGAGGCACGAAGCAUGUGGUUCUUGGGGUUGCGACGCUCGAUCCGCCAUCUUGGGUGCUGGCGGCGGAAACCAAACUUCCUCUCGGGGCGAACCUGGAGAAGCCACCUCAGGAGUGAGGGACGGUUGCGCCUCAUGGCUCAGGCAAGGACUGGACUCGAACUCCCGGACUCAAGUGAUCUUCCCACUUAGCAGGGACUGCUGGACACCUGUCUCCCAAUAAAUACUUGAGUAUUAAUGA